rnacentral:lncRNA from 1 species
UCCCUGAAUCUCCUGACUAUGGUGGAGGAGUGUGGAUCCUGGAACUAAACUGAGGUGAUAGGGAGGAAAAGAGAGAAAUCAACAGUAAACGCUGCACAUCCUCUGUCUGUGCUAUGGACUCUGAUCGCCCAACCAGAGCAAACCCAGAAGGACAACUCUCCAAGCCUUUCAAUCACUCCCACUAACCCGUAUUGUGGACACACUAUUGUGAGGCCUACUAAGGAUGUACUGCUGAUGACCUUUUGAAGGCCAGUGGACCUGCUCUGCAGACCCAGGCUCCUCUCCCAUGGAGCAUCCCAAGUCUGUCCUUAUGGGAAGAAGCAGGAGCCCUGUCUGGCUGUACCCCAAGCUGCUUUCUCUGGACCAAUGCUGUCAGCGAUAGAGCAAACAAGCCAAACAGCAGCUUGAAAAAUGCUUUCUACUUGGACAUACCCUCUUGCUACAGGGAACCCUUCCACCAUCAUGUGAAGAAGCCUGGUCUAGCCUGCUGGAGGAUGAGAGAUCACAUGGAAUGAGGCCACAAUCGUUCCAGCCAAAGCCCCAGUAAUAGAAUUAAGAUCAUCCAAGACCAUGGCAUCCCGCCUGAGAAGUUCAGAUGAGAAGGGCCACCUGAACAACCAACAGAAUCUUAAAAAGUAAAAAAUGAGUGUUGCCACUAUGCAUCUAUUAGAAUGGCAGAAAUCGAAGACACUGACAACAACAAAUGCUGGUGAGGAUGUGGAGCAACAGGAACUCUCACUCACUGAAGAUGGAAAUGCAAAAUAGUGCAGCUACUUUGGAAAACAGCUACUUUGGCUGUUUCUUACAACACUAAAUAUGCUAUUAUUAUAUGAUCCAGAAGUUUUGCUCCUUAGCACUUACCCAAAAAAGUUGAAAACUUAUGUACACACAAAAACCUGCACAUGGAUAUUCACAGCAGUUUUUGAUAUGGUUUGGCUCUGUGUCCCCACAGAAAUCUCAUCUUGUAUUUGUAUAAAUUUAUGGGGUACAAGAGUAAUUUUGUUAGCAUGCAUAGACAUGCAUAGACUGCAUAGCUCCCAUAAUUCCCACAUGUUGUGGGAGGGACCAGGUGGGAGGUGAUUGAAUCAUAGGGGCAGGUCUUUCCUGUCUUGUUCUUGUGAUAGUGAGUGGGUCUCACAAGAUCUGAUGGUUUUAAAUAACAGGAAUUUAUCUGCACAAGCUCUUUUAUUUUGCCUGCUGCCAUCCACAUAAGAUGUGACUUGCUCCUCCUUGCCUUCUGCCAUGAUUGUGAGGCCUCCCCAGCCAUGUGGAACUGUAAAUCCAAUUAAAUCUCUUUCUUUUGUAAA